GUGAAGUUAUAAUAUCGCCUGGUGCUAUUGAACCAGAUAAGGAUAACAUUCGCAUAGAGCCGUAUUCUUUACCGCAGGGUUUCGCUUGGGACACGUUGGAUCUGAGCAACACUGAAAUUUUAAAGGAGUUGUACAUGCUGCUAAAUGAAAAUUAUGUUGAAGAUGAUGAUAACAUGUUUAGAUUUGACUAUUCACCGGAAUUCCUUUUGUGGCCCCUUAGACCUCCAGGUUGGCUUCCGCAGUGGCACUGUGGUGUCAGGGUAUCAUCCAAUAGGAACUGGUGGGGUUCAUCAGUGCCAUUCCAGCACACA